GCAUCGAUGAAGAACGUAGCGAAAUGCGAUACUUGGUGUGAAUUGCAGAAUCCCGUGAACCAUCGAGUCUUUGAACGCAAGUUGCGCCCGAAGCCAUUAGGCCGAGGGCACGCCUGCCUGGGUGUCACAC
rnacentral:rRNA from 5 species